GCGACGUACUUCAUAGGAUCAUUUCUAUAGGUCACGUCCUUUUUUGAGCUCUUUACAAGAGCCACAGAAUCCAACUUGGUUGAUGAGAUAGUUCCCUGCGCACCCUAGAGUGAGAAUGGUAAUUGUUUGGUCGUGGCUCUUGCAGCCCGGCCAUCUUUUAUGUGCCUUUGAUACGCUGAUUAGUGGAAUUGCCUUCUAGGAGUUGCGAUACCUUUUUUGCCACGCAAGUGGUAGAGAGCUCGUAAUCUCUAUUGGUCGGUUAGCCCUAGUCGUUUAUGCGUCGGAAGGAGCGAUGAUCUCUGCCCUUUAUAUGUGCUUCUUCGGAAGAGUUAUAUUGGGUGGGUGCGUUAGGCUGUCUGACAAG
rnacentral:snoRNA from 1 species